UACGUAGGGGCCUAGCGUUGUCCGGAUUUAUUGGGCGUAAAGAGCUCGUAGGCGGUUCGGUAAGUCAGGUGUGAAAUCUCCACGCUCAACGUGGAGGCGCCACCUGAAACUGCCGUGACUCGAGUCCGGUAGGGGAGUGUGGAAUUCCCGGUGUGAGCGGUGAAAUGCGCAGAUAUCGGGAGGAACACCAGUGGCGAAGGCGGCACUCUGGGCCACUACUGACGCUGAGAAGCGAAAGCGUGGGGAGCGACGAGG
rnacentral:rRNA from 1 species